UACGAAGGGGGCGAGCGUUGUUCGGAUUUACUGGGCGUAAAGGGCGCGCAGGCGGCUUUUCAAGUCAGGCGUGAAAUCCCCGGGCUCAACCCGGGAACUGCGUCCGAUACUGGCAGGCUUGAAUUCGGGAGAGGGAUGUGGAAUUCCAGGUGUAGCGGUGAAAUGCGUAGAUAUCUGGAGGAACACCGGUGGCGAAGGCGGCAUCCUGGACCGAUAUUGACGCUGAUGCGCGAAAGCCAGGGGAGCAAACGGG
rnacentral:rRNA from 1 species